rnacentral:rRNA from 1 species
UGGGGAAUAUUGGACAAUGGGCGCAAGCCUGAUCCAGCGACGCCGCGUGAGUGAUGAAGGCCUUCGGGUUGUAAAGCUCUGUUGAGGGAGAAGAAAACUAUCACGGCGAAUAGGCGUGGUACUUGACGGUAUCCCUUUAGAAAGCACCGGCUAACUCUGUGCCAGCAGCCGCGGUAAGACAGAGGGUGCAAACGUUGCUCGGAAUUACUGGGCGUAAAGCGCGUGUAGGCGGACCACCAAGUCGGACGUGAAAGCCCUGAGCUCAACUCAGGAACUGCAUCCGAAACUGGCGGUCUGGAGUAGUGGAGAGGAAAGCAGAAUUCCUGGUGUAGAGGUGAAAUUCGUAGAUAUCAGGAGGAACACCGGUGGCGAAGGCGGCUUUCUGGACACUUACUGACGCUGAGACGCGAAAGCGUGGGGAGCAAACAG